GACGAACGCUGGCGGCGUGCGUAACACAUGCAAGUCGAGCGGGCCGGUUGGGCGGGGGAAACCCUUGUCGAGCCGGUUGAGCGGCGGACGGGUGAGUAACGCGUGGAUAACCUACCCGCAGGACCGGGAUAACACCGGGAAACUGGUGCUAAUACCGGAUAAGCUGCUCCUGGGGCAUCCUGGGGGCAGGAAAGGUGGCCUCUGGGGAACCAAGCUACCGCUUGCUGAUGGGUCCGCGUCCUAUCAGCUUGUUGGUGGGGUAACGGCCUACCAAGGCGACGACGGGUAGCCGGCCUGAGAGGGUGUCCGGCCACACUGGGACUGAGACACGGCCCAGACUCCUACGGGAGGCAGCAGUGGGGAAUCUUCCGCAAUGGGCGCAAGCCUGACGGAGCGACGCCGCGUGGGGGAAGAAGGCCUUUGGGUUGUAAACCCCUGUCAGGAGGGAAGAAGUUCCGCGGGCGAAGAGCCUGCGGGGUGACGGUACCUCUAGAGGAAGCCCCGGCUAACUACGUGCCAGCAGCCGCGGUAAGACGUAGGGGGCGAGCGUUGUCCGGAAUUACUGGGCGUAAAGGGCGCGUAGGCGGUGGGACAAGUCCAAGGUGAAAGCCGGCGGCUCAACCGCAGGAUGGCCUUGGAGACUGUUCUGCUGAGAGGGCAGGAGAGGGAAGUGGAAUUCCCGGUGUAGCGGUGAAAUGCGUAGAGAUCGGGAGGAACACCAGUGGCGAAAGCGGCUUCCUGGCCUGGCCCUGACGCUGAGGCGCGAAAGCUAGGGGAGCAAACA
rnacentral:rRNA from 1 species